rnacentral:rRNA from 1 species
UACGGAGGGUGCAAGCGUUAAUCGGAAUUACUGGGCGUAAAGCGCGCGUAGGCGGUUACUUAAGUCGGAUGUGAAAGCCCUCGGCUUAACUGAGGAAGUGCACCCGAAACUGAGUAGCUAGAGUACGAAAGAGGGUCGCGGAAUUCCCGGUGUAGAGGUGAAAAUUCGUAGAUAUCGGGAGGAACACCGGUGGCGAAGGCGGCGACCUGGGUCGAGACUGACGCUGAGGCGCGAAAGCGUGGGGAGCAAACAGG